UACAGAGGGGGCAAGCGUUAUUCGGAAUUAUUGGGCGUAAAGGGCGCGUAGGCGGCAUGGCAAGUGGAUGGUGAAAUCCCUCGGCUUAACCGAGGAACUGCCGUCCAAACUGCUUCGCUUGAGACCGGGAGAGGUGAGUGGAAUUCCCAGUGUAGCGGUGAAAUGCGUAGAUAUUGGGAGGAACACCAGUGGCGAAGGCGGCUCACUGGCCCGGAACUGACGCUGAGGUGCGAAAGCGUGGGGAGCAAACAGG
rnacentral:rRNA from 1 species